GAUGAACGCUAGCGGGAGGCUUAACACAUGCAAGUCGAGGGGCAGCAUAGGGUAGCAAUACUCUGAUGGCGACCGGCAAACGGGUGAGUAACGCGUAUGUAACCUACCCUGUACAGGGGGAUAACCCGGAGAAAUUCGGACUAAUAUCCCAUAACAAUAUCCGGGGGCAUCUUUGGAUAUUUAAAGUUCCGGCGGUACGGGAUGGGCAUGCGUAACAUUAGCUAGUUGGUAAGGUAACGGCUUACCAAGGCUUUGAUGUUUAGGGGUCCUGAGAGGGUGGUCCCCCACACUGGUACUGAGACACGGACCAGACUCCUACGGGAGGCAGCAGUGAGGAAUAUUGGUCAAUGGGCGCAAGCCUGAACCAGCCAUCCCGCGUGCAGGAAGACGGCGCUAUGCGUUGUAAACUGCUUUUCCAGGGAGAGAAACUUGCGCACGUGUUGCGCAAUUGACGGUACCCUGGGAAUAAGCAUCGGCUAACUCCGUGCCAGCAGCCGACGGUAAAACGUAGCGUG
rnacentral:rRNA from 1 species